rnacentral:rRNA from 1 species
GACGAACGCUGGCGGCGUGCCUAAUACAUGCAAGUCGAACGCAGUGGGGACGGGUGAGUAACACGUGGGUAACCUCCCAUCAGAGGGGAUAACACUUGGAAACAGGUGCUAAACCGAUACUGAUGGAUGGACCCGCGGUGCAUUAGCUAGUUGGUGGGGUAACGGCUCACCAAGGCCACGAUGCAUAGCGGGCCUGAAAGGGGGAUCGGCCGAACUGGAACUGUGACAAGGCCCAACGUCCUACGGGAGGCAGCAGUAGGGAAUCUUCGGCAAUGGACGAAAGCCUGACCGAGCAACGCCGCGUGAGUGAAGAAGGUUUUCGGAUCGUAAAACUCUGUUGUUAGAGAAGCGGUAUCUAACCAGAAAGCCACGGCUAACUACGUGCCAGCAGCCGCGGUAAUUC